rnacentral:rRNA from 1 species
AGAGUUUGAUCCUGGCUCAGGAUGAACGCUAGCGGCAGGCCUAAUACAUGCAAGUCGAACGGUAAAUGUCCCUUCGGGGAUAUGAGAGUGGCGCACGGGUGCGUAACGCGUAUGCAACCCACCCGCUGUCGGGGGAUAGCCCGGAGAAAUUCGAAUUAAUACCCCAUGAGGAGGGGACGAGGCAUCUCGUUCUUUCAAAACUACGGUGACGGCGGACGGGCAUGCGUGCCAUUAGAUGGUUGCGGGGUAACGGCCCACCAAGUCGACGAUGGCUAGGGGAUCUGAGAGGACGGUCCCCCACACUGGUACUGAGACACGGACCAGACUCCUACGGGAGGCAGCAGUAAGGGAUAUUGGUCAAUGGGGGGAACCCUGAACCAGCCAUGCCGCGUGAGGGAAUAAGGCCCUACGGGUCGUAAACCUCUUUUGCCGGGGGAUAAAGACAGCCACGUGUGGUUGUUUGAAGGUACCCGGAGAAUAAGCAUCGGCUAACUCCGUGCC